CAGCAGCCGCGGUAAUGCGAAGGGGGCUAGCGUUGUUCGGAUUUACUGGGCGUAAAGCGCACGUAGGCGGAUCGAUCAGUCAGGGGUGAAAUCCCAGAGCUCAACUCUGGAACUGCCUUUGAUACUGUCGAUCUGGAGUAUGGAAGAGGUGAGUGGAAUUUCGAGUGUAGAGGUGAAAUUCGUAGAUAUUCGGAGGAACACCAGUGGCGAAGGCGGCUCACUGGUCCAUUACUGACGCUGGGGUGCGAAAGCGUGGGGAGCAAACAGGAUUAGAUACCCGGGUAGUCCCUGUCUCUUAUAC
rnacentral:rRNA from 1 species